AAAUGAUGUUCAGACAUGAAACUCUAGGACCCAUUUCAGCUGUAUGUUUCUAUGUACAUUCAAUGUCUCUCAUAACAGGUUUCUAGAUCUGUAUAGCUGCUGAUCAUGGAUCAGUCCUUUUUCUCAAAUCUUGAAUUGAUGGUGUAGAUUGAGUUUUGUAGAUCUGUAGAUGUAGAAUUGCUGCUUGGGCGUGUUUAAUUUCAUCAUUUGGAAGGACAUUUUGGUGGGUUUCUCUUAUCUUGUUUGUUGUUCGGUUUAUGACUGCUAGGGUUUCUCUAUUUUAUUCAAGAUUGUAGCUUUUUUUAAUCAAAGAUUUGAUUUUUAUCGUCAAAGAUUGGAUCUUUAGCUUUGCAGAUGGCUGGUUAUCAACAGAAAACUGACUUUGUUUCUGGGGUUUAUCAAGAAAGAGGAUCUGGGUACUAGGUGCUGGAGGAUUUUGGGUUUGGUACAAAAUUCCCAUAAAAAAAUUGGUUCUUGUAAAGGUGAAUUAGGUUGCAUUGGGUGUUGUAUAGUUUAUUAUCUGUUGAGGUUUAGGUGGUAGCAUGUCCUUUAAGAGUAUGAUUCAGGACAUGAAGGAUGAGUUUGGGAGCAUUUCUCGGAAAGGAUUUCGCUCCAGGUCACAUAGGGUGGUUCAGGAUUGUACCGUGACUAUCGAUGCGUUGAGGCAAAGUUGUUGGGCCAACAUGCCGCCUGAGCUAUUGAGAGAUGUGCUGAUGAGGAUUGAGGAGUCGGACUCUGAUUGGCGUCCAAGGAAAAAUGUUGUGGCGUGCGCUGGUGUUUGCAGGAGUUGGAGGGAAAUCAUGAAAGAGAUUGUUA
rnacentral:misc_RNA from 1 species